GUAAUUCUAUGGCUAAUACAUGCGCAAAUACUAUAUCAUUCUCUCCCUUUUUGGGGGUGUUGUGAUAUAGUAGUGUUUAUUAGAUACAGAACCAACACAUCAUUAUUACCAUUAUGGUGGUGGUGAUGUAAAAUAAGGUGAUUCAUAGUAACCGAACGGAUCGCAUUAUAAUUAUCAUUAUUUGAUGAUUGGCGAUAGAUCAUUCAAGUUUCUGACCUAUCAGCUUUCGACGGUAGUGUAUUGGACUACCGUGGCAGUGACGGGUAACGGGGAAUUAGGGUUCGAUUCCGGAGAGGGAGCCUGAGAAACGGCUACCACAUCUAAGGAAGGCAGCAGGCGCGCAAAUUACCCAAUCCUGACUCAGGGAGGUAGUGACAAGAAAUAACAACACUGGAAAUUUGAUUUCUAGUGAUUGGAAUGAUGGGAAUCCAAACCCCUUUCAGAGUAACAAUUGGAGGGCAAGUCUGGUGCCAGCAGCCGCGGUAAUUCCAGCUCCAAUAGCGUAUAUUAAAGUUGUUGCAGUUAAAAAGCUCGUAGUUGGAUGUCUGUUGGAAGCAAUCAUCAGUCCGCCCUAUUUGAUUAGGGUGUGAAUAUGAUGAAUUCCGGCAUAAUUGUCUCCCUAUUGUUAAUAUUUUGAUUGUUAGAUUCAUUUCUAACAAUACGAUUAUUAAUAAUAAGGGGGAAAUGUUACUUUGAGAAAAUUAGAGUGUUUGAAGCAGGCUUUUGUUGCCUUGAAUACUGCAGCAUGCAAAAACAAUAUAGGAUUUCGGUUCUAUUUUUGUUGG
rnacentral:rRNA from 1 species